rnacentral:rRNA from 1 species
UGGGGAAUUGUUCGCAAUGGGCGCAAGCCUGACGACGCAACGCCGCGUGGAGGAUGAAGAUCUUCGGGUCGUAAACUCCUUUCGAUCGAGACGAAUGGCUUCCGGGCUAACACCCCGGGAGAAUGACGGUACCGAGAGAAGAAGCCCCGGCUAACUCCGUGCCAGCAGCCGCGGUAAUACGGGGGGGGCAAGCGUUGUUCGGAAUUACUGGGCGUAAAGGGCUCGUAGGUGGCCAACUAAGUCAGACGUGAAAUCCCUCGGCUUAACCGGGGAACUGCGUCUGAUACUGGAUGGCUUGAGUUUGGGAGAGGGAUGCGGAAUUCCAGGUGUAGCGGUGAAAUGCGUAGAUAUCUGGAGGAACACCGGUGGCGAAGGCGGCAUCCUGGACCAACACUGACGCUGAGGAGCGAAAGCCAGGGGAGCAAACGGGAUUAGAUACCCCCGUAGUCC